rnacentral:rRNA from 13 species
ACACCGAAUGACCAAGGUUUCCUCAGCUAUGCUAAUCAGCUGAGGGUUAGUCGGGUCCUAAGGCGAACCCGAAAGGGGUAGUCGAUGGCCAAGCAGUUAAUAUUCUGCUACUUGCCCCACGUUAAAAGCGGACGGAGGCGAAAAGUUGGUGCGUACUGACGGAAUAGUACGUUGAAUCCAGUGGUAACACGGAGAUAGUACACAAAAGCUACGGCCGGCGUGAUAAUCCAGCGGAUCGACUUCCAAGAAAAGCGAGUGGUGGCAACCCGUACCGUAAACCGACACAGGUAGUUGGGAUGAGAAUUCUAAGGUGCUCGAGAGAUUCAUGGCUAAGGAACUAGGCAAAAUAGGCCCGUAACUUCGGGAGAAGGGUCGCCCACAGCAAUGUGGGCCGCAGUGAAAAGGUCCAGGCGACUGUUUAUCAAAAACACAGGACUCUGCUAAAUCGAAAGAUGAUGUAUAGGGUCUGACACCUGCCCGGUGCCGGAAGGUUAAUUGAUGGGGUUAGUUUUCGGACGAAGCUCUUGAUCGAAGCCCCGGUAAACGGCGGCCGUAACAAUAACGGUCCUAAGGUAGCGAAAUUCCUUGUCGGGUAAGUUCCGACCUGCACGAAUGGUGUAACCAUGGCCACGCUGUCUCCACCCGAGACUCAGUGAAAUUGAAAUCGCAGUGAAGAUGCUGUGUACCCGCACCUAGACGGAAAGACCCCGUGAACCUUUACUACAGCUUGGCACUGAACAUUGAACCUACAUGUGUAGGAUAGGUGGGAGACUUUGAAACCGCGUCGCUAGAUGUGGUGGAGUCGUCCUUGAAAUACCACCCUUGUAGUUUUGAUGUUCUAACGUUGGCCCCUGAAUCGGGGUUACGGACAGUGCCUGGUGGGUAGUUUGACUGGGGCGGUCUCCUCCCAAAGAGUAACGGAGGAGCACGAAGGUGGGCUAAACACGGUUGGACAUCGUGUGGUUAGUGCAAUGGCAUAAGCCCGCUUGACUGCGAGAAUGACAAUUCGAGCAGGUGCGAAAGCAGGUCAUAGUGAUCCGGUGGUUCUGUAUGGAAGGGCCAUCGCUCAACGGAUAAAAGGUACUCCGGGGAUAACAGGCUGAUACCGCCCAAGAGUUCAUAUCGACGGCGGUGUUUGGCACCUCGAUGUCGGCUCAUCUCAUCCUGGGGCUGGAGCAGGUCCCAAGGGUACGGCUGUUCGCCGUUUAAAGAGGUACGUGAGCUGGGUUUAGAACGUCGUGAGACAGUUCGGUCCCUAUCUGCCGUGGGUGUAGGAUACUUGAGAGGAGUUGCCCCUAGUACGAGAGGACCGGGGUGAACGAUCCACUGGUGGACCUGUUAUCGUGCCAACGGUAGUGCAGGGUAGCUAUGAUCGGAAAGGAUAACCGCUGAAGGCAUCUAAGCGGGAAGCCCCCCUCAAAACAAGGUAUCCCUGAGGGCCGUGGAAGACCACCACGUCAAUAGGCCGGAGAUGUAAGCGCAGCAAUGCGUUCAGUUGACCGGUACUAAUCGCCC